UGCAGAAUCCCGCGAACCAUCGAGUCUUUGAACGCAAGUUGCGCCCGAAGCCGUCAGGCCGAGGGCACGUCUGCCUGGGCGUCA
rnacentral:rRNA from 1 species